UACGGGGGGGAGCAAGCGUUGUUCGGAUUUACUGGGCGUAAAGGGCGCGUAGGCGGUCGUGACAAGUCACUUGUGAAAUCUCCGGGCUUAACUCGGAACGGUCAAGUGAUACUGUCGGACUAGAGUACAGAAGGGGCAACUGGAAUUCUCGGUGUAGCGGUGAAAUGCGUAGAUAUCCGGAGGAACACCGGUGGCGAAGGCGGCGACCUGGUCCUUAUACUGACGCUGAGGCGCGAAAGCGUGGGAGCAACAGGAUAG
rnacentral:rRNA from 1 species